UACGUAGGGGGCAAGCGUUGUCCGGAUUUACUGGGCGUAAAGAGCGUGUAGGCGGCCAGGCAGGUCUGUUGUGAAAACUGGAGGCUCAACUUCCAGACGUCGACAGAAACCGCUUGGCUAGAGUCCGGAAGAGGAGAGUGGAAUUCCUGGUGUAGCGGUGAAAUGCGCAGAUAUCAGGAAGAACACCGAUGGCGAAGGCAGCUCUCUGGGACGGUACUGACGCUGAGACGCGAAAGCGUGGGGAGCGAACAGG
rnacentral:rRNA from 2 species